rnacentral:rRNA from 1 species
GAUGAACGCUGCCAGAAUGCUUAACACAUGCAAGUCAACUGUGGCGGACGGGUGAGUAACGCGUAAAGAACUUGCCUCACAGAUAGGGACAACAUUUGGAAACGAAUGCUAAUACCUGAUACUGUGAGAGAGCUUUGCGUCCCAUUGGCUAGUGGGAGAGGUAACGGCUCACAAAGGCGAUGAUGGUUAGCCGGACUGAGAGGGUGAUCGGCUACAAGGGGACUGAGACACGGCCCUUACUCCUACGGGAGGCAGCAGUGGGGAAUAUUGGACAAUGGACCAAAGUCUGAUCCAGCAAUUCUGUGUGAACGAUGAAGUUUUCGGAAUGUAAAGUGCUUUCAGUUGGGAAGCGGUACCAACAGAAGAAGUGACGGCUAAAUACGUGCCAGCAGCCGCGGUAAUUC